CUGGGGCCGCUAAGCGCAGGCUCCCUGGGCUGGCACCGCCCUAGGCUGGAGAAAGAGGAAACACGUUGGUCUGCGCACUCAGAGCCGAGUCAAAUGUGCAGGAAGAUUCCCCCAAACUGAAAGAAGUAAUGAAAAGAAAACAAAAAAAAUCCUUAAAAAUCGAGUGAAUCAGUUCGUAGAGAAUUGCAGGGUCAACAGCAAAUUUGAGGCAGUGGAUAUGAGGAUAGAGGAGACACUCCUGAAGACUUCACUUUCUCCAUUUCUGUACUUGAAUUUUUACACCAAGCAUACAGCUUGAAAAAAUUAAAUGAGUAUGCAGUAUUUUAAAAAUCAACAAAAGCUUCACAUUUUAAUUUUCACUUGAAAAAAAAACAUGAGUGGUACUCAGCAGAACAACAACUAUAUCGUAUAAGCUGCAUCAGAGACAAAUGAAGAUGAAAAAACUAUCCUCCUAUAUAACUAAUCUGUGCUGUGCCCCAACAAAGCCUGCUUUAAAUUUCCGUGCCAAUUACAACCCCCAUUCUGUAUCAGGCAAGGCCACUCACAUAAUACAUAUCCAAGUCAGAGAAUGCUGAUAUAAACCUUGCCCACCUCUCUCAGCCCGUCUUUCUUACUCAGACAAUUUCUGAGCAGCUCUUUGAUGAACACACAAUCUUCAGUUUCCAGGACAAACUGAGCCACAGCCUUCCCUCCUGGCAGAUGGCUCCUCACCAUCUGACUUUUGACACUGUCCAGGACAACUCCCCUGAUGUCUUUAGGCUUUCCUGGCAUACCAAAGAUGAUAAACAGACCCAGGCAAUCCUCUCCUAUUAAGUUACAGAAUUCUUCCAGCUUAUCAAAUCUACUUUUCUUCCAGGAAGACUCCUCUACCCUUGAUUCUGGAUUGGAAAGGUCACAAGGCUUAGAUUCCACAGGAGGAGGUGAAGACAUCUGCAGAGUCUGUACUGCGAGCUGAAGCUUUAUUUGCUUGUUGGAUCCCCAAAAGGUCCAAAUCCAGUCUGCACCAAACAGGAAGGCUUGGUGCUUGGUCAUCUUGGUGGUGGUCAGCCACUCAUCAACUCCCUUUUCUUGGCAGAAAGUGAUGAAAUGGAUUAAGAAGAUCUCAUUCAGAGUAUUUGCAGCUGGGCAGAGUUUACUUGGAGGAUAUUCAAAUCCAAGGUACUCCUUCAGUUUCUGAGCUGCAUGGACUAUAGCUUCACUGACCACCUCACAGACGACGGGCACCUCUUUGCUGUCCUUCAGAGCCAACUGUUGCGAUGCUUUCUGCCCCAUUUUCUCUGCAUCCAAAUAUCAAACAUGUGAAUCUGGUUCAGACGUACUUCUUUUUCAAAGUAAAAGUUCUGCAGGGAGGCCACAUCUGUUAAUGGUUCAUGUUUUUCUAACUCUACAGCUUCCUCGGGUGUAGUUAAGCAUAUAUACAUACAGCUAAAUAAACAUGUUAGUUCUCUCUGUUUGUCAGUUGGGUGUGUUGUGUUCAUACAGUUCCUGCUGGUUUAUUAAGUUAAAGAUACUAAAUUUCACACAAAACAUCUGUUCUAUCUAGGUUAUAUUCACUCUACUUUUAAUCUUUGGUAAUCUCUUCCAACAUGUUUCCUCUUUCCAAGUUUUAGUUGAAGUAAAAAUAGCACGUUAGUUCUUUUUGUUUUUGUUUUUUGAGACAGGGUCUCACUCUGCUACCCAGGCUGGAGUGCAGUGGCGCAAUCAUGGCUCACUGCAGCUUCAACCUCCCUGGGCUCAGGUGAUCUCACCUCAGCCUCUUGAGUAGCUGGGGCUACAAGUGUAUACCACCACACCUGGCUAAUUUUUGUGUAUUUUUUGUAGAGGUGGGGUUUCACCAUGUUGUCCUGGCUGGUCUCAAUCUCCUAGGCUCAAGCAAUCCUCCCGCCUCGGCCUCCCAAAGUGCUGGGAUUAUAGGCAUGAGCCACUGCACCCAGCCCUAUGUUAGUUUUUUAAAUAUCCAUACACCUCUUUCUACAACUAACUUCUUCCAAUCUCUAGGUGAGUCAUUUCCAUUUGCUUUUCCUAUUUUCUUUUUUUGUUUGUUUUUGUUUCUUUUACCUUCUGCCAUGAUUCUUCAUUCCCCAGCUCAGUUGCUUCUUUUCCUACAAAAGCUUCUCAAACAAAGGCCUCAAAUUCCUAUCUGUUGAUACACAUUAUAAACUCCAUUCGAACAAAUUUAUGGCAGUUUAUAAAGAGAUUGUGUUAUUUUCUAUGUCAGAAACAAAGCCUGUUACUAUGAACAACGGAAAAUGAAAUAAGGGCAAUAAAAAUGAGGCAAUUAUCAAUUGACUUUAUUUCCUUUCAUAUGGUAACACCAGCAGUGUAUGAUAUUUGUAAAUAAAAU
rnacentral:lncRNA from 1 species